rnacentral:sRNA from 1 species
AUUCUGCCCAUGCGGGGAAGGAUGAGAAGCCUCGACCAAGGUUCGACUCGAGCGCCAGCGAGAGAGCGUUGCCGCAGGCAACGACCCGAAGGGCGAAGCGCGCAGCGUUUAGUAAUCCUUCCCCCACCACCA